ACGUAGGGUGCGAGCGUUAUCCGGAUUUAUUGGGCGUAAAGGGUGCGUAGGCGGUUAGGUAAGUUAGGUGUGAAAGCUACGGGCUCAACCCGUAGUUGCGCCUAAAACUACUUGACUAGAGAAUGCUAGAGGAAAGCGGAACUCAUGGUGUAGCGGUGAAAUGCGUAGAUAUCAUGAGGAACACCAGUGGCGAAGGCGGCUUUCUGGGGCAUUUCUGACGCUGAGGCACGAAAGCAUGGGGAGCAAACAGGAUUAGAUACCCUGGUAGUCCAUGCUGUAAACGAUGGUCAUUAGGUAUAGGGAGAUCGACCCUUUCUGUGCCGCAGUUAACGCGUUAAAUGACCCGCCUGGGGAGUACGAACGCAAGUUUA
rnacentral:rRNA from 1 species